GUUACUUCAGGCUCAUUAUAACCCACAUUCUAGCUAACACACACACACACACACAGAGGCAUCUUCAGCGCGAAGGAAGAUGGGAAUAUAGCUGUUCUCCUAGUUACGGUAACACGACUCAGGCAUCAGCAUACUAAUUACUUUGUUGCCUCCGUGAGGGCGCCUGUGGCUUUUAGGUGAGAGGGGAGUCGGGGCGCUGGACAAAUGAGAGCGGGGUCAGCGGGCGUAUCGCUACGGAUGUAAUGAAAGGAGCUGUAAUUCGUUCAUGGUGGCAGAAAAUUGUGUCGGAAACAGAAGGGAGAGAUAACGCCUUGCGCUGGCCUUUUCUUUUUUUUCCCCUCUUUCCAUCGCGGUGUAUUGAUUGGAGUGUGGUGGAAUGAGCAAAGGGCAAGUGUGAAAGCAUAUGCCAUUCAGGAGGAGAAGGAGCAUUUCAGGAUGUCAUGUCAUACCUACUCGGCUAUUUAUCUUGGUGGCUGUGUGGAGAUAACGUUCCGCAUUUUGUGCCGACGACGAUGAUGCUGCGGAGCGCGCCUGCCCACCCGCCCAGAUGUACGCAGYCAUCCAGCGUUGUGUCAGGAGUUUGGGUGUUUGUUUUUUUUUUCUUCUCCUUAAUCCUAAUGCUUUCAGAGGGACAUUUAUUAAUCUCUCUGUUUCAAAAGGAGAGCGACAAAGCCUUUCAGGUGAAUAAGCGAGGGAUUCCUCCGAGGGUAUCUCCAUGCACCCGCUCGACGAUUAGCCGAGACAACGCAGCAAAGCUAGCGGUUUUGUUGCCAACGCUGCAGAAGGUUGCACAAAGACRAGGCCCUGUUUCCCAUCCCUCACUCCCAACCUCCUCUGCUUCCAUAUUGCUCUUCAGCUUGUUAUCAGGUAUCGGUUUUGCCUACAGACGGCAUAUGAGAAGCUAUGUUAGUCGUUUUUGAGGCACAUGCCACCAUCCACCCAAAUGUCAUCUUUUGUGUUCAUCAUAACAAGAUGGUGACCCACCGCCUCACUGGUCCGUAGUUCUUUUCUUCAUAAGCUAUAAAAUAAAAUAAAAAAACGGAAGGACCCGUCGUGUGUUUGUGUGUUUGCCACUUGGUUAAAAGUGUGUGCGCGAGUUGAGAGCGUUUUCUGACUUUGAUCCUAAUGGAAGAUUUAUUCUCUCCUCCGCCGAUGUCUUGGCUGGCUUUACUAAACCAGCAUCUUUAAAUGCCGACCUUGUCACUUCAGCAUGUUGCCAGGCCAACCUCUUUGUUUGAUGUCUUGUUUCAAAGGCCCUGAAACACAAGCUGACACAGCCAAAGGAGGGGAGGCAAUUCAUUAAGAGUGCAUCCAACAGAGCUCGGUCUGCAGCGACAUGCUUGGGCUGAUUGUUGUAGAUCGUUUAUAUCUCAUUUCUUUGCUUGUUUGUCUAAUCUGUAAAUGUACUUGGAUUGCUCAAUAAAUGUAUUUACUCACGCAA